UCCCGGCCCCGCAAGGGGCCGGGGGAAGUGGCGAAAGGGGCAGUAAGGCGUGGGUAACCUGCCCCGGAGUUCGGAAUAGCCCCCCUAACGGGGGGAUAAUACCGAAUGCCGUGUCGGAGGGGCCUCCUUCUGACACGAAAGCUCCGGCGCUCCGGGAGGGGCCCACGUAGUAUUAGCUAGUUGGUGGGGUGACGGCCCACCAAGGCCAAGAUGCUUAGCGGGUGUGAGAGCACGACCCGCGCCACUGGCACUGGGACACUGGCCAGACUCCUACGGGAGGCUGCAGUCGAGGAUCUUCGGCAAUGGGCGCAAGCCUGACCGAGCGACGCCGCGUGCGCGAUGAAGGCCUUCGGGUUGUAAAGCGCUGUCGGGAGGGAGAAAGGCCGCAAGGCUUGAUCGACCUCCGGAGGAAGCACGGGCUAAGUUCGUGCCAGCAGCCGCGGUAAGACGAACCGUGCGAACGUUGUUCGGAAUCACUGGGCUUAAAGGGCGCGUAGGCGGGCUCGCGAGUCCGGGGUGAAAGCCCCCAGCUCAACUGGGGAAGCGCCUUGGAUACUGCGGGCCUCGAGGGGGGUAGGGGCGCGCGGAACUUCCGGUGGAGCGGUGAAAUGCGUAGAUAUCGGAAGGAACACCGGUGGCGAAAGCGGCGCGCUGGACCCCUUCUGACGCUGAGGCGCGAAAGCCAGGGGAGCAAACGGGAUUAGAUACCCCGGUAGUCCUGGCCCUAAACGUUGGGCACUANGUUGUGGACUUACAUGGGUUCACAGCCGAAGCAAAAGUGUUAAGUGCCCCGCCU
rnacentral:rRNA from 1 species